GAUGAACGCUGGCGGCGUGCCUAAUACAUGCAAGUCGAGCGAACGGACGAGAAGCUUGCUUCUCUGAUGUUAGCGGCGGACGGGUGAGUAACACGUGGAUAACCUACCUAUAAGACUGGGAUAACUUCGGGAAACCGUAGCUAAUACCGGAUAAUAUUUUGAACCGCAUGGUUCAAAAGUGAAAGACGGUCUUGCUGUCACUUAUAGAUGGAUCCGCGCUGCAUUAGCUAGUUGGUAAGGUAACGGCUUACCAAGGCAACGAUGCAUAGCCGACCUGAGAGGAUGAUCGGUCACACUGGAACUGAGACACGGUCCAGACUCCUACGGGAGGCAGCAGUAGGGAAUCUUCCGCAAUGGGCGAAAGCCUGACGGAGCAACGCCGCGUGAGUGAUGAAGGUCUUCGGAUCGUAAAACUCUGUUAUUAGGGAAGAACAUAUGUGUAAGUAACUGUGCACAUCUUGACGGUACCUAAUCAGAAAGCCACGGCUAACUACGUG
rnacentral:rRNA from 1 species